GUCUAUGGCCAUACCACCCUGAACGCGCCUGAUCUCGGAAGCUAAGCAGGGUUGGGCCUGGUUAGUACUUAGAUGGGAGAAUCUACUGAUUCAGCCAGGCCUGCCGUUCUAGGUC
rnacentral:rRNA from 1 species